rnacentral:rRNA from 1 species
GACGAACGCUGGCGGCGUGCUUAACACAUGCAAGUCGAACGGUGAAGCGCCUUCCUUUUUGGUGGGUGUGGAUGAGUGGCGAACGGGUGAGUAACACGUGAGUAACCUGCCCCCUUCUUCUGGAUAACCGCAUGAAAGUGUGGCUAAUACGGGAUAUUCUGGGUCUGUCGCAUGAUGGGUCUGGGAAAGAUAUUGUUUCGGUGGGGGAUGGGCUCGCGGCCUAUCAGCUUGUUGGUGGGGUGAUGGCCUACCAAGGCGGUGACGGGUAGCCGGCCUGAGAGGGUGGACGGUCACACUGGGACUGAGACACGGCCCAGACUCCUACGAGAGGCAGCAGUGGGGAAUAGUGCACAAUGGGCGCAAGCCUGAUGCAGCGACGCCGCGUGAGGGAUGGAGGCCUGCGGGUUGUGAACCUCUUUCGCCAGUGAAGCAGGCCUGCCUCGUUUGUGGGUGGGUUGACGGUAGCUGGAGAAGAAGCGCCGGCUAACUACGUG